UGCCUGGCGGCCAUAGCGCCGUGGAACCACCUGAUCCCAUGCCGAACUCAGAAGUGAAACGCGGUAGCGCCGAUGGUAGUGUGGCAUUCGCCAUGCGAGAGUAGGACACUGCCAGGC
rnacentral:rRNA from 2 species